UACGGCGGGUGCGAGCGUUACCAGGAUUUACUGGGCGUAAAGGGCGUGUAGGCGGUCUUUCCAGUCCGAUGCUAAAGUCUGGGGCUCAACCCCAGGACUGCGUUGGAUACUGUGAGGCUAGACGGUCGGAGGGGGUAGCGGAAUUUCCGGAGUAGCGGUGAAAUGCGCAGAUACCGGAAGGAACGCCAAUAGCGAAGGCAGGUACCUGGACGACUUGUGACGCUGAGGCGCGAAAGCGUGGGGAGCAAACCGG
rnacentral:rRNA from 1 species